rnacentral:rRNA from 1 species
UACGUAGGGUGCGAGCGUUGCCCGGAUUUAUUGGGCGUAAAGGGCGCGUAGGCGGCUCUGCACGUCCGUUGUGAAAUCGCCCGGCUCAACUGGGCGGGGUCAGCGGAUACGGCGGAGCUUGAGCAAGCUAGGGGGCAAUGGAAUUCCCGGUGUAGUGGUGGAAUGCGUAGAUAUCGGGAGGAGCACCAGUGGCGAAGGCGGUUGCCUGGGGCUUUGCUGACGCUGAUGCGCGAAAGCGUGGGGAGCGAUCCGG